UACGUAGGGGGCAAGCGUUGUCCGGAUUUAUUGGGCGUAAAGAGCGUGUAGGCGGCCAUGUAGGUCCGUUGUGAAAACUCGAGGCUCAACCUCGAGACGCCGAUGGAAACCAUGUGGCUAGAGUCCGGAAGAGGAGAGUGGAAUUCCUGGUGUAGCGGUGAAAUGCGCAGAUAUCAGGAAGAACACCAGUGGCGAAGGCGGCUCACUGGCCCGGUACUGACGCUGAGGUGCGAAAGCGUGGGGAGCAAACAGG
rnacentral:rRNA from 1 species